rnacentral:tRNA from 1 species
GGGCCAGUCGUCUAGGGAUUCCAUGAGGAGCAUGCUCACGCUCGGACAACCUGGUUAGGACAACACCCUUACACGGUGUGGGUCGUCGGUUCAAAUCCGGCCUGGCCCA